rnacentral:lncRNA from 1 species
AGGGUUGAUUAAUGCUUCUACACCAAGAGGUCUGGGGUUCGAGUCCCAGAUAUUGCGAUUUAUUAACAAAUUUGCAGAUUAAUGGAGGCAAGUGUGCAGGAGAUCUCCAGCGAUGUACAGUUAUAGCUGUUCGCCAUGAUUCUACGCAGGGAAGGAAGUGUCGUCAGGUCGUGGAUUAUUGAAGGUAUUCAUCAAGAUCAUGAAGAAGGAAGUGUAGUCUGUCGUGGAUCUAGUAAGGGUCGGAAGGAAUUGUCAGUUGUAGAAUCGUCUAUGUAAUAGUUAUCAUAAUUUGCAAUUAAUAAUAAGUCUAGACGACAAAAAAAAAAAA